UCUGCAGUCUGUAGGUGGCUCGUCUGCAGUCGCAGUCGCAGCUCCAGCUCGAACCUCGCGACGGCCGGUCUUCGCGCGGCCUCGGCUCCGGCCCCGGCCUCAGCCUCCCGGCGCGGCUCGCAGCGGCGGCGGCGGCGGCUCCCGCUCGACGGCCCCGGGCCGCCCCAGCACCCCGGACAGCGGCGCCUCCUGCCGGGACCCGGCCGUCUCCCCCCAUCCCCGCCGGGCUCGCGGCCCGCUGCCCUGAGGGCCCCAGGUACUGGACAGGCUGGAGGGGGGAAAGGGUGAACCUGGCGAGGUUUCGGCCGGUCUUAAAGAGCCUCGCGGCCCAACUCGUUCGUGCUCUUUCCUCACUCCUCCUAUCCAAUACAGCCCAGUGGGCAUUUAUUAACCACCUACUAUGUGCGAGGGCUUGGGGUGGCUCACCCCUCCCCCUCGAAGGCGGCCAUGCGGCAGGUACGCAGAUAAGUAUUUCCUUGAUGAAUAUAGUAGAUGCUUAAUAAAUGCUUGUUGAAUGAGUGAGUAGACGAACGAACGAACGAAUGAAUGAAUGAAUGAAUGAACAGGUAGGCUGCAGCUAGAUGGCGAACGGCUGGUCCGGGGCGGAGCACUGUGCAAUGGAAAGAAUGUGGACGGGGCUGUCUCACCUGAUCCUCACAACCACCCUGGGAGGUUUAACUGUUAGUAAUAUACAAAAGGUGGAUGAUUUUUGUGGAUUCAUUUCAUAUUCUACUUUGAUGCUGAUUAAGUAAGCCAUCAUGUCAUCUGCAAAUAGGGCCACGUCCAUCAGACUUGAUCAUCAUAUAGUGUUGUUGUUGAAGUAUAUAAUGAUCUCCUGGUUCUGCUCAUUUCAAGAAAACUUUAUUGAGAGUUUCUAAGUGGCAGGCAAUGUGCCGGCAACUCUGAGCACUCAGUGUAUCUCCAGGGUAAAUGGAAGAGAAUCUUGAGAGGCAGAUGGUGACAUUGGAGCUAGGACUGGAAACAAGCCAGGUAAGCUGGGACACUGACAUCGGUGUCCAAGACUAAGCCAGGUUGACAGUCACAGAAAAUGUCAUCUGAGAAUGGCGUAGCUUCGAGAGGAACACCAAGGGAGGUUGGCCCCGGGUGGAGCAGACAGAGCGUGGAGCAAGGUCACUUGGCAGCAGUUGGAAAGGCUGACUUCAGAAAAGCCUGGAGAGACUUACAUGAAUUGAUGCUGAGUGAAGUGAGCAGAACCAGGAGAACAUCGUACACGGUAACAGCAAGACUGUGUGACAAUCAACCUCGGCGGAAUUGGCUCUUCUCAGAAGUGUGGUGAUCCAAGACAAUUCCAGUUUACUUGGGAUGGAAAAGGCCACCUUGGGGACUGAAUUUGGAUCAAAGCAUACUAUGUAAUUGUUUUUUUCUCAUGGUUUCCCUUUUGAUUUUUCUUUCACAACAUGGAAACAUGUUUAGAAUGAUUGUACAUGUAUAACCUAUGUUAGAUUGCUUGCUAUCUUGGAGAGGGAGAAAAGUUUUUGUAACUCAAAAUCUUAAAGAAGUGAAUGUUGAAAACUAUCUUAACAUGUAAUUGGAAAAUAAAAUACUGUUAAGUAAAAAAAAGUGAGAGUGAGACUAGAUGAGAAUUCAGUAUAAAUUCCUGAAACUUAACUAAAAAUAUCAUUGGCAACAGAAAGUAAAAAAACUGGGAGAGCAAAUAGGAGUUUGAGAGAGAGUAAAAGAAAUUGAGAAAUGCAGGGGAAAGAGAAACAAUGGAAUAGAGAGAAAAUAAGAUGGAGGAGUAUAGAAGAGACAAAGUGAAAGACAAGUAGGGAAUGAGCAAAAGAUUAACAGUAGAAGUAGAGAAAGAAUGAGAGAGACAAACAAAAGCGGAGUGGGGGGAGAGAGAGUAAGAAGUAGUGAGAAAAAGAGGGAGAAUGGGAGGACAAGACAGAAAGAGAGAUGGAGAUAGGGAAUGAGAAAAAGAAUGAGAGGAUGACAAAGAGAAAGAAAACUUAGGAAAACAGUGAUUUUUUUUUAAAAAAAAAAGGACAGAAUGUGAGAGAGCCAUAGAAAUAACAGGAGAGGAAAAAGGAGGAGAGACAGAGAAAGCCCAAAACAGAAUGAAAUAGAAAAUGAGAGUGAUACAGAGAGAGUGAGAAAUGGGAAGAAAAUUAGAGGGAAAGAAAAAUAGUAGAAUAGAGAAAAAAGGGAGAUAGAACAAGAGAAAUAAAAAGAAAGACAGACACAGUGAAAGAGAAUAAAAGAUUGGAGAGGGAAAAGGGGAAAGAGUGGGAUAGGAGAGUGUGUGAGAUUGGAUUAUUAGCUUACAAUUUCUCAAUCCUUACAAAUGAGUGAGUCAAAGAGCAAAUUUUAGGAUGGAUAAUUUCAUUAAAGAUAAUGACAACAAUGAGCCAACAUAUGUGAACUGAUCCAGCCAUUCUUGAAAACAAUUGAGAACUUUGCCCAAAGGGCUAUCAAACUGUGCAUACCCUUUGAUCCAGCAGAGUCACUACUAGAUUUGUAUCCCAAAGAAAUCAUAAAAGAGGGGAUGGGACCCCCGUGUGCAAAAACAGCACCUUUUUCUGUGGUGGCAAAGAAAUGGAAAAUGAGGGGAUGCCCAUUGGUUGGAGAAUGGCUGAAUAAGUGAAUAAGAUAUAUGAUUGUAAUGGAAUAUUAUUGUUCUAUAAAAAAUGAUGAUUUCGGGGAGACUUACCUGAACUGAUGCUGAGUGAAGUAAGCUGAACCAGGACAAUAUUGUACACAGCAACAAGAUUAUGUGAUGAUCAACUAUGAUUGAUUUAGCUCUUCUAAGCAAUGCACUGAUCCAAGACAAUUGUGAAUUCAGAGAGAAUUAUGGAGACUGAAUGUAGAUAGAAGCAUAUUAUUUUCAUCUUUUUCCUUUUUCUUUCUCAUGGUUUUCCCCUUUCAUUCUGAUUUUUCUUUCAUAACAUGACUACUAUGUUUAAAAUGAUUAUACAUGUAUAAAUUAUAUCACAUUGCUUGCUGUCCUGGGGAGGAUAAACGGGAAGGAGAAAAAUAUUUGGAAUGAGACAAUGUACCAAAAUUUAUGUGAAACAGCCAAAAUAGUACCAAAUGGAAAAUUUAUGUUUCUAAAUACUUACAUCAAUAAAAUAGAGAAAGAGAUGGAUGAAAUGCAUAUGCAACUAAAAACUAGCAAAAAAUUAAAAAUCCUGAAAAUCAAAGGAAAGAUUAGUAAAAAUUGAAAACAAUAAAAGCACUUAACUAAUAAAACUAAGAGAUGUAUUCAUGGAAAAAAAACCCAACAAAAUAGAGAAAACAUUGGUUAGUUUGAAUUUUAAAAAGAAGAAAAUCAAAUUACCAGUAUCAAAAAUGAAAAGGGUGAAUUCACCACCACUGAAGAUGAAAUUAAAGCAAUUAUUAGGAGCUAUUUUGCCCAAUUAUAUCAACAAAUCUAACCAUCUAAAUGAUUUUUCUCUCUUUCUCAUCUUUUUCAAGAAUGAAAGAGAAAAAUUGCGAGAAAUAAAUGAGAUUGGAAGAAAUAUGAAAGUGAGAAACAAUAAGGGAGUGAGAGAGAAUGAGAAAAAGAAAAAAGGUGUAUUCUUGAAAGAAGAAAGAAUGGGACAGUGAGGCAAAAAUAAGAGAAAAAAGAAUGGGAGAGAAAAGCAAAGUAAAAAAGAGUGGGAGACAGAGCCAGGGAAAGAGAGAAAGAAAAAUGGAGAGUGAGAGAAAAGAAAAAUAGACAAAGCUUUGGAGACAGGGAAGGGAGCAAAAGAGACAGAAAAAGUGAAGAAAACAGGGAGCAUAAAAUAAAGAGAUAAGGGCAGAGUGAGGAAAAGGGAAAGCAUGAGUCAAAGUGUGGCAGAAAGAAAGAAAAAGAGAUGUUGGUGAAAGAGAAAUUCUGUGAGUGGAAUACAGAGAAAAAAGGAGAGAGGAAGAGAAAGAAGCAGAGAGCAUGAGUGGGAAAAACAAUUAGAAAUUCUCUUAUUUUUAUGCCAACAAAACUGAAGAUAAAAUGAAAUGGGUGAAUAUUUAUAAAAGUAUAAAAUGGAGGAAAUAACAAAUAUAAACAAUCUUAUCUCAGAGAAUCUGAGUAAAUCAUAAAUGAAAUCCAAGGAAAAAUUCCUAGUUUAAUUAUGAAUUAUAUCACACAUUUAAAGAACAGUUAAUCAUUCUGCUAUGUAAGCUGUUCACAAAGUAAUAGAGCAAGAUGCCACCUUUACCAAAUUCCUUCUAUGAGAAAAAUAUGGUCCUGACAAACUAAAUUAGGGAUAAAGCUAAUAAAGAAAAAUACACACCAAUAUCACUAAUUAUUUAGUUAACCAAGCAGGUAUAAUAUAUUAAAAAUUAUUCACUAUGAUCAAUUUAGAUUUAUACCAGAAGUAUAAGGUUGGCUCAGAAAUGCCAUAUAUUUGAAAAACUACGCAUUUAUAACACAUCAUAUUAAUAAAUCACAUAAUCAUUUCAGUUCGGAGGGGAAAAAAAGCCUCGGGGAAAAUAUACUUUUAUUUCUGAUAUCCAGUGAGAAUAUUAAUUAUGUUUUUUUAAUAUCUGUAAAAUCAGGAACUAGUUUUUAUUUGUAACAGAAUAACACCAUAGUCUUUCCCAGUAAGAUAAUACAAGAUUCCUCACUGUCUCUGUUAUUAUUUGAAUACCUUUCUAGAAAUGCUCCUAUAGCACUGACAAUGAAAAGUAGCUCAGGGAGAACAAAUCCAUCAAGGGAGAAGAAUAUCCCUUCUAUUGGCAGAUAAUAUGAUGUUUACUUUAAGAAUUAUGGGGUUUCAGAAAAAACACUCAUCAAAAUGACAGCCCCAGUAAAGUUGUAAGAUAUAAAAUGAAACUACAAGUUGUCACCUUUUGUCUACAUCACUUACAAUCCAAGAGGAAGAGAUGGACAGAAAAACUCUACUAAAUCCUCUGUGAUGCAUUAAAAAAUGGAUUUAAGAGACUGAGACACGGUUAAGAGUGAUCUAAACUCUGCCAUAAAGCACUGCUGAGUGUUUUAUGAGUAAAGUACAUUGGAGAGAGAUUCAUUACUCAUGGUUGGAGCGUGUCAAAAUGUUUUAAAAAAUUGUGAUGACAUUUAAAUUAAUUCAUAAAUUGAGUUUUUUUUUCAAGCAAUAUAUUACCAAGGCGUUCCUGUAUAGGACCAUAUAAGUCAUAAUGAAAGUUCAUUAAUUUCAAGGGAAAUAGUGGGAAAAAAUAAUAAUGAAGGGAGCUUAGCAUUAUCAAAUCUCAGAUGAUAGUAUGAAGCAGUAAUCAUCUAUUUGAAUGGUUUAUAUGGUUUAAGAAAAGGACUAGAGAAAUGGGACUUAGGAGUAAAGGAUACAGUCGUUCAGUGUUUUAUAAACCCAAAGAUAUUGAUAUCAUGGAUAUGGUAGAUAGAAGAGUUCUUGGGAAAUCACAUUGGACUAGCAUUUUAUACCACGUAAUCGUCAUAAGCCUGAAAUGGAUGUAUGACAGUAAUAUAAAAGGUCAUAGCACCAAAAAUUAAGAGUAAAGGUUCCAUAUAUACCAAAAUAUUCCUAAUUUUUUUUCCUUAACAGAAAAUUCUCCAAAUAAAAUUAGUCCUUGUCUCUUAGGAAACGGAUAAACAAAAUGUGAUAUGAAUGUAGUACGAUAUUAUUUAAUGUAAAAAAAAUGACUAUAAAAUUCAGAAACUUGGGCAGACUUGUAUGAACCUUGGGAACAUUAAUGAUAGUAAUUAUAAUUUCAAUAGUACUUUAAAGUUUACAGAAUUCUUUGGAAAUGUGAUCUCACUUUAUCCUCACAACUCUAAAAAGUUUGAAUAGUUAUCAAAAUAGAAAAUGCCCAGAUUCACAGAACAAGAAGUAAAGGGCUGAAAUAACAGUUCAUAAAAAGAAAUGAAACAAGCCAUAAAUGACUUCCAAAAAGGGAGAGAGGACCUUAGACUUUAUAAGUAAAUUUGAUUAUUCAGAAAAAAGAGUCCAUGGUGUUGUUAACCUAAACCAAGAAAAGUAAAAACAGAAAGAAAACUAUGGAUCAAUAUCCCUAAUGAACACGGAUGCAAAACAAGGUGGAAAUGAAGGGAAAAGACCUUAUGUAUAAAAAAGUAUUUAUAGCAGUUCUCUUUGUGGUGACAGAACCAACAAAAUGGAAACUAAGGGCGUGAGAAUGAUUUGGAGAAUGGGUAAACAAACAAUGCUAUUUGAAUGUGCUGUUAUUCAGCCAUUUUUCUGUCAUGUCGGAUUCUCUGUGACCCAGUUUGGGGUUUUCUUGGCAAAGAUACUGAUUGGCCAUUUCCUUCUCCAGCUCAUUUUACAGAUGAGGAAAUUGAGGCAAACAGGGUGAAGUGACUUGCCCAGGCUCACACAGUUAGUGUCUGAGGCUGGGUUUGACCUCAGGUUUACUUGACUCCAGUCCUGGCAUUCUAUCCAUUGCACAAUCUAAGGUGCCUUAUAUGAACACAGUGGAAUAUUACUGUGCAAGAAGAGAUGGCAAAGGGGAUACAUAGGGAAGAUGUGUAUGAACUGAUGCAGAGUGAAGUGAGCAAACCAGUAGAACCAUUUAUACAGUAAUAAUAAUUUUGUAAAGACAAAUUUGAAAGUCUUAAGAAAUUUGAUUAUUACAGUGAAUUACGAUACCAGUAGAACUAUGAUGAAACCUUCUGUCCAUUUUAUGACAGAGAGGUGAUACCUCAAAUUUUGUUUUGUUCAGUUAUGUCUUUAUUGCAAGAAUUUUGCUCUUUCCCCCCCAAAUAGGGUGGGAGAGGAGUAAAGUGGGGAAGAGAGAAAAUAGAUUUAUUUAACUGAAAAAGAACUAAACUUGAUUUUUAAAAAAGGAAACAGUAGGGAAGAUGGAUUGGUUAGGGGGAAAACUCAAAGGAAGACAACCAGUUUGGAGAUUGUUGCAGUAGCGUCUGCCAAAAGAAAGGAGGACCUGAAGAAGGGUGGUUAUAUCAGCACUGGAGGGAAAAGUGGGAGAGAUCUUUUCAAGGUUGAGAGCUUGGUAAUUAAUUGGAUAUGGGGCAGGGCUUAUCAGGAAUGGGUAAGAGUUCAGGUUCUGAGCUUACAAACCCGAGUGACUGUGAAGAUGGUGGUAGUGCUAUGAACAGAAAUCAAAGCCUUAUGGGAAAGCACAGGUUUGGGGAAAGAGGGAAGAUGUUCAAUUUGUGGUGCUGGCCGUAAGGAGCUCUGGGGAAAGAUCAUGGAUGGCUAUGCGGAUGUGAGUGUCAGUACUUAAACUGAAAAGAUGAGCAAAGUAGUUCCCCGAGGGAGAGAAUGGAGGAAGACUUAAGAGGAAAGUCCAGGAGAGAACCUUGCUGCAUAUCUCUAGUUUUAUAAUGGAAGGAGAAUAGAAAGUCAGCACAAGAAAGAAAUGGUCAGAGAGGGAGAAGGAACAUGGAGUACGGGGUAUCACCAGGGAAGAGAUGUUGGUGACUGAGGCCAAUAUACACACCGGCUACUUAUGGCCCAAGAAGGUCAAAGACAAAAAAGAAAAGCUCUGUAUAUCUCUGUAUAUAUAAUACUUGUCUUAUAUAUACUCUCUCUAUUCCCAAUAGCACUUCUGGUAGGACAAAAACUAGAAAUGAAGUGGAUGCCUAGUGGUAGGUGACAAAUUGCUGUCUAAAUUGUGGCAGGUAAAUGGGAGAGGUAUGAAUUAUGGCCCCAAAAUAAGAAGCAGGAGGAAUUCCAAGCAACACAAUCCAGGGCACAUUAGUGCGUGCUAGGGAUACAAAAGCAGAUGAGAUAGUCCUUACCUCCAAGUUAUCUGGAUUCUGUUGAGGAGCUGCAUAUAACCUGUACACAUUCACCAUGACAAUCUAGACUCAAAAUCAAUCCAGGGACUAAGGACUGGGGAAAUCAUCAGGGGAGAGAUCUCUUGAAGGAGAAGGCAUUUGACCUGAACCUUAAAGGGAAGGAAAAGUCCCAAUUACUAGAGGUGAUUCCAGACAUGGGGUGACUUUCACUGUACAGAAGAAUGAAGGUGGAAGGGAGAGGGUCCAGUAAAUCAGCUUGGUUGUAGUGGAGAAUGCUGUGGGAGGAGCAAGAUACAGUCAGUUUGUAGUGUUCCUGACAAUUUUGCAAUUUAUCCCAAAGGCAAUAGCAUCCACCAGGGUUUCUGUACGGAGAUUAGUCCUGUCCUUACUAAUCCAGAUCCCUGCCUCAUAGUUGCCUGACCCCUUCUACAUUUAAGGAAUCAGCAUGGGAUAGUUGAAAGCUUGAACUAGGGUGUCUGUGGUGUGCAUGGAGGGAAGGGGUGGUGGUGGGGGUGACAUUGAUGAAAUUUAAAGUAAUUGGAUAUGAGGAGUGAGUGAACUGAGUGAAGGGCCAAGGAAGACUCCUAGCUUGGAAACCCGGAAAUGAGAAAAUGCUGAAGAUGGCUUGUAAAUUGCCAAACAUGGGAAGACUUGUUGGAACUGAGAAGAAGUGAAGAAAGUUGAACAGAAGAACAUACCCGAUGACUACAAUAAUGUCAACAAAAGCCAGCACUAAAGGACAUUAGAACAUGGAGGAGAUCCGGCACCAGAGGAUGGAACCCAGGACAUCUCAAAGCAGAAAUGGAGACUUCAGAAUUUACCAAGACUGGAAAAAUCAUCAAAUAUGGAAACCUGGUUUCUUCAAUCUACAGAAGAGCUCCAAGAUCUGCAGCCAGGGAAUGGACACCAGCAUGAGAACAUAAGUCCCAGAAAACACCUUUUGUAGCUCCGUGGGCCUGUGGUCGCCAUUAUCAUCAUCAUUGUCGACAUUAUUGUUGUCCUCGUCGUCGUCCUCAUCCUCGUCGUCACUGCUCCAUGCUGUCUGGACCAGAGUGAUCCUUCUUUGUAAUCCAAAGUCAAAUCUACAGAGAAAGCAUGGCCCAUGGUCACAAAGGGACAUUGCUGCUGCUGCUCAACACUGCCAGUGCCAUUAGAAUUCUAAAUUACUUGAGAAUGCCUCAUGGAUUUGGGCAAGUUCUCUUUCGUUUUCCAGUCUAUGAACUCCCCAGAGAUUCAAUCCAGUUGUUCUGGGUUUCCAUUUUCCCUAAAGUGAAGCCUUUACAUCUCGGAAAACUUUGACAGAAAGCUAAGAGCAAGACUCAAGAAUAGAACCCAGCAUUCCUAGCUAUUGCAUCCAGUGUUCAAUCAUAUUAACAAUUUCUUGAAAGAAACACUACUAAAUUAUGAUCAUGGCUGGCCAGCUCAGACAUAUUCUUCAAGUGUAAUUGAUAAAGAAUACUCAGGUGAAUUUGUGGAAGUAGAUCACUGCUUCCUCCUAAUCUUCCCUAGUGCUCCUCUUUUGGGGAACUGUUUUAAUUUGUUUCAGGAGUGGAAGUUCUUGCACCCCCUAAAAAACCCCAAGAUGGUGGAACAGAGAGAACAUUCCAGUGGAACUCUACCAACUUGCCUUUCCAAAAAACUUGAAAAUAUCAAAUAAUCAAAUUCUGAAGUGCCAUACAAAGAAAAAGUUUGUCCAGCUGAAAAAAAUGUUUGAGGUGAGGAGAAGUUUGGGUCACUGGCUCAGAAGGCAAAGGGAAGGGCACUUACUAUGGAUCUUGGAGGACGGGAGGCACAGUGAUAGCUGCAGGAAUAGUUGUCACAUUUCUUAAAGUUUUCACUGCCAAGAAACCAAGUAUUAGACAACUGCUAAAAAGGUGAUUAGGGGCAGCUCUGUGUGGGCACGGUAGACAUUACCAGUUUCACACAAAGGGGGAGAGAGGCCAAUGCCAUCACAAAAAACUGGUGGUAACACCUGGAGCUCCAGAGUGAAGACGAUCACUUGUUAUCACAAGUAAACACAUUCCCUGCUACUGCUCCAGGGUGAAGAGGAGCACCUGCCAGCAUGAUGACAAGGAAGAGGAAGUCCCCCCUGCAGCUACUAGGUGAAGAGACCUUGCUAUAACAAAAAAAGCAAUAGUCCCAGCUGCAUCUCAGGGGUGCAUAGAGGCCUUUCCCAUUACAACAAAGCAGAGGUAUCGGCUGCAGUUCCAGUUUGAAGAAGACCACUUUCCCAUCACAAGUAACCAGAAGUCCCAGCUGUGGGUCCAGGGUGAGGAAGAGCACUUGUCAUCACAAUUAAUCAGAAGUCCCUGCUGCUGCUCCAGGGUGAAGAACAACAGUUGCCACCACAAGUUACCAGAAGUCCCUGAUGCUGCUCCAGGGUGAAGAGGAGCACUUGCCAUCACAAGUAACUAGAAUUCCCUGUAACAAGCUCCAGGGUGAAGAGGAGCACUUGCCAUCACAAGCAAGUAGUGGUCCCAGCUGCAGCCAUGGGACGGAGAGAGGGCUUUGGCAUCACAACAAACCAGAGGUCCCAGUUGCAGCUCCAGUUAGAAGAAAAACACUUUGCAUCACAAGUCACCAGAAUUCCCAGCUGCGGGUCCAGGGUGAAGAAAAGAACUUGCCAUCACAAGUAGCCAGAAGUCCCUGCUGCUGCUCCAGGGGGAAGAGGAGAACUUGCCAUCAAAAUGAAGCAGAGGUCCCAGCUGCAGCUCUGGGGUGGAGAGAGGCCUUUGUCAUCACAACCAAGCAGAGGUCCCAGCUGCAGUUUGCAUUUGAAGAACACUUCCCAUCAUCACAAGAAACCAGAAGUCCCUGCUGCUACUCCAGGGUGAAGAAGAACAAUUGCCAUUACAAGUUACUAGAAGUACCUGCUGCAGCUCCAGGGAGAAGAGGAAGACUUGCCAUCACAAGUAACCAGAAGGCCCAGCUGCAGCUACUGGGUGAAGACCAAUUGCCAUCACAAAAAUGGAAAGAACGCAGCUGAAGCUCCAGGGUAGAGAGAGGCCUUUGCCAUCAAACCCAUGUAGAGGUCUCAGUUACAGCUCCAGGAUACAGAGAGGCCUUUGCCAUCACAACCAAGCAGAGGUACCAGCUGCAGAUCCAGGAUGGAGAGAGGCCUUUGCCAUCACAACCUAGCAGAGUUCUAAGCUGCAGCUCCCGUUGGAAGAAGAAAACUUGCCAUAACAAAUAACGGGAAAUCCCAGCUGCAGGUCCAGUGUGACGAAAAGAAAUUGCCAUCACAAGUUACCAAAAGUCCCUGCUGCUGCUCCACAGUGAAGCGGAAAACUGGCCACCACAAGUAACCAGAAGUCCCUGCUGCAGCUCCAGGGUGAAGAGCAACACUUGCCAUCACAAGUUACCAGAAGUCCUUGAUGCUGCUCCAGGGUGAAGAACAGCAGUUGCCAUCACAAGUUACAAGAAGUCCCUGCUGCUGCUCUAGGGUGAAGAUGAACACUUGCCAUCACAAGUUACCAGAAGUCCCUGCUUCUGCUCCACAAUGAAGAGGAACACUUGCCAUCACAAGUUAGCAGAAAUCUUUCCUGCAGCUACUGGUUGAAGAAGACCAAUUGCCCUAAGAAAAAUGCAGAGGACGCAGCUGCAGCUUAGGGAUGCAGAGAGGCCUUUGCCAUCACAACUAAGCAGAUGUGCAAGCUGCAACUCCCGUUUGAAGAGGAACACUUCCUAUCACCAAUAACUGGAAGUCCCAGGGCAAGGUCCAGUGUGAUGAAAAGAACUUGCUAACACAAGUAACCAGAAGUCCCUGCUGCUGCUCCAGGGUGAAGAGGAACACUUGUCAUCACAAGUAACCAGAAGUCACUGCUGUUGUCCAAGGGUGAAGACGAACACUUGCCAACACAAGUUAACAGAAGUCCCUGCUGCGGCUCCAGGGUGAACAGGACCACUUGCCAUCAAAAGUUACCAGAAGUCCCUGCUGCAGCUCCUUGGUGAAGAGGACCACUUGCCAUCACAAGUUACCAGAAGUCCCUGCUGCAGCUACAGGGUGAACAGGACCACUUGCCAUCAAAAGUUACCAGAAGUCCCUCCUGCAGUUCCAGGGUGAAGAGGAACACUUGCCAUCACAAGUUACCAGAAGUCCUUGAUGCUGCUCCAGGGUGAAGAACAACAGUUGCCAUCACAAGUUACAAGAAGUCCCUGCUGCUUAUCCAGAGUGAAGAUGAACACUUGCCAUCACAAGUUACCAGAAGUCCCGGCAGCAGCUGCAGGGUGAAGAGGAUCACUUGCCAUCAAAAGUUACCAGAAAUCUUUCCUGCAGCUACUGGGUGAAGAAGACCAAUUGCCCUAAGAAAAAUGCAGAGGACUCAGCUGCAGCUUAGGGAUGGAGAGAGGCCUUUACCAUCACAACUAAGCAGAUGUGCAAGCUGCAACUCCCGUUUGAAGAAGAACACUUCGUAUCACCAAUAACUGGAAGUCCCAGCGGCAGGUCCAGUGUGAUGAAAAGAACUUGCCACCACAAGUAACCAGAAGUCCCUGCUGCUGCUCCAGGGUGAAGAGGAACACUUGUCAGCACAACUUACCAGAAAUCCUUGCUGUAGCUCCAGGGUGAAGAAGACCACGUGUGACCACAAGUACCCAGAAGUCCCUGCUGCUGUUCUAGGGUGACGAGGAACACUUAUGACGCCAAGUAACCAGAAGUCCCUGCUGCUGCUCCAGGGUGAAAGGGAACACUUGCCAGCACAACUUACCAGAAGUCCCUGCUGCAGCUCCAGGGUAUAGAGGAACACUUGCCAGGUCAACUUACCAGAAGUCCCUGCUGCUGCUCCAGGGUGAAGAGGAACACUUGCCAGCAUAACUUACCAGAAGUCCCUGCUGCUGCUCCAGGGUGAAGAGGAAUACUUGCCAGCACAACUUACCAGAAGUCCCUUCUGCAGUUCCAGGGUGAAGAGGAACACUUGCCAUCACAAGUUACAAGAAGUCCCUGCUGCUUAUCCAGAGUGAAGAUGAACAUUUGCCAUCACAAGUUACCAGAAGUCCCUGCUGCAGCUCCCGGGUGAAGAGGACCACUUGCCAUCAAAAGUUACCAGAAAUCUGUCCUGCAGCUACUGGGAGAAGAAGACCAGUUGCCCUAAGAAAAAUGCAGAGGAUGCAGCUGCAGCUUAGGGUGUAGAGAGGCCUUUGCCAUCACAACAAAGAAACUGUCUCAGCUGCAGCUCCACGAUGGAGAGAGGCCUUUGCAAUCACAACUACACAGAUGUCCCAGCUGCAGCUUAUGGGUGGAGGGAGGCCUUUGCCAUCACAACUAAGCAGAGGUCUAAGCUGCAGCGCCCAUUUGAAGAAUAACACUUCCUAUCACCAACAACUGUAAGUCACAGUUGCAGGUCCAGUGUGACGAAAAGAACUUUCCACCACAAGUAACCAGAAGUCCCUGCUGCUGCUCCACAGUGAAGAGGAAGACUUGCCAUCACAAGUUAACAGAAGUCCCUGCUGCAGCUCCAGGGUGAAGAGUAACACUUGCCAUCACAAGUUAACAGAAGUCCUUGAUGCUGCUCCAGGGUGAAGAGUAACACUUGCCAUCACAAGUUAACAGAAGUCCUUGAUGCUGCUCCAGGGUGAAGAACAACAGUUGCCAUCACAAGUUAUAAGAAGUCCCUGCUGCUGCUCCAGGGUGAAGAUGAACACUUGCCAUCACAAGUUACCAGAAGUCCCUGCUACAGCUCCAGGGUGAAGAGGAACACUUGCCAUCACAAGUUACCAGAAGUCCCUGCAGCAGCUCCAGGGUGAAGAGGACCACUUGCCAUCACAAGUUACCAGAAGUCCCUGCUGCAGCUACAGGGUGAACAGGACCACUUGCCAUCAAAAGUUACCAGAAAUCUUUCCUGUAGCUACUGGGUGAAGAAGACCAAUUUCCCUAAGAAAAAUGCAGAGGACGCAGCUGCAGCUUAGGGGUGGAGAGAGGUCUUUGCUAUCAAAACAAAGUAGAGGUCUCAUUUAUCGCUCCAGGAGAGAAUGAGCCCUUUGCCAUCAGAACUACGCAGAUGGCCCAAGUGUAGCUUAGAAGUGGAGAGACCCCUUGGCCAUCACAACUAAACAGAGGUCCAAGCUGCAGCAACCGUUUGAAGAAGAACACUUCCUAUCACCAAUAACUUGAUGUCCCAGCUGCAGGUCCAUUGUGACAAAAAGAACUUGCCACCACUAGUAACCAGAAGUCCCUACUACAGCUCCAGGGUGAAGAGGAACAGUUGCCAGCACAACUUACCAGAAGUCCCUGCUACAGCUCCAGGGUGAAGAGGAACACUUGCCAGCACAACUUACCAGAAAGUUGUAGCUCCUUGCUGUAGCUCCAGGGUGAAGAAGACCACGUGUGACCACAAGUACCCAGAAGUGCCUGCUGCUGCUCUGGGGUGACAAGGAACACUUAUGACCCCAAGUAACCAGAAGUCCCUGCUGCCGCUACAGGGUGAAGAGAAACACUUGUCAUCACAAGUAACCAGAAAUCCCUGCUGCUGCCCUAGGCUGAAAAGGAACACUUGCCAACACAACUUACCAGAAGUCCCUGCUGCUGCUCCAGGGUGAAGAGGAAUACUUGCCAGCACAACUUACCAGAAGUCCCUGCUGCUGCUCCAGGGUGAAGAGGAACACUUGUGACCCCAAGUAACCAGAAGUCCCUACUGCCGCUGCUGGGUGAAGAGAAAAACUUGUCAUCACAAGUAAGCAGAAGUCCCUGCUGGAGCUCCAGGGUGAAGAGGACCACUUGCCAUGGAAUGUUAGCAGAAAUCGUUCCUGUAACUACUGGGUGAAGAAGACCAAUUGCCCUAAAAAAAAUGCAUAGGACACAGCUGCAGCUUAGGGUUGAGAGAGGCCUUUGCCAUCACAACUACAUAGAAGUGCCAGCUGCAGCUUAUGGGUGGAAGUAGGCCAUUCCCAUCACAACUAAGCGGAGGUCCAAGCUGUAGCUCCCGUUUGAGGAACACUUCCUAUCUCCAAUAACUGGACGUCCCACCUGUAGGUCCAGUGUGACGAAAAGAAUUUGCCACCACAAGUACCCAGAAUCCCUGCUGCUGCUCAAGGGUGAAGAACAACUGUUGCCAUCACAAGUUACCCUGAAGUCCCUGCUGCCGCUCCAGGGUGAAGAGGAACACUAGUCAACACAAGUAGCCAGAAAUCCCUGCUGCUGCUCCAGGGUGAAGAGAAACACUUUUCAUCACAAGUAACCAGCAAUCCCUGCUGCUGCUCCAGGUUGAAGAGGAACACUUGCCAGCACAACUUAACAGAAGUCCCUACUGCCGCUCCAGGGUGAAGAGGAACACUUGCCAUCACAACUUGCCAGAAGUCCCUUCUGCAUCUCCAGGGUGAAGAGGAACACUUCCCAUCACAAGUUAUUAUAAGUCCCUGUUGCAGCUCCAGGGUGAAGAGGAACACUUGCCAUCACAUGUUGUCAGAAGUCCCUUCUUAAGCUCCAGGGUGAAGAGGAAUAAUUGCGAACAUAAGUACCCCUAAUUCCUGCUGCUGCUCGAGGGCGAAGAACAACUGUUGCCAUCAGAUGUUGCCUGAAGUCCCUGCUGCCGCUCCAGGGUGAAGAGGAACACUUCUGACCACAAGUAACCAAAAGUCCCUGCUGCAGCUCUAGGGUGAAGAAGAACAUUUCUGACCACAAGUAACCAAAAGUCCCUGCUGCAGCUCCAGGGUGAAGAGGAACACUUGCCAUCACAAGUAACGAGAAAUCCCUGCUGCUGCUCCAGGGUGAAGAACAACAGUUGCCAUCACAUGUUGCCAGAAGUCCCUGCUGUUGGUCCAGGUUGACGACGAACACUUUUGAUCACAAGUAACCAGAAGUCCCUGCUGUAGUUCCAGGGUGAAGAGGAACACUUGUGAACAGAAGUACCCAGAAGUCCCUGCUGCUGCUCCAGGGUGAAGACGAACAAUUGUCAUCACAAGUAACCAGAAGUCCCUGCUGCGGCUCCAGGGGGAAGAGGACCACGUGCCAUGAAAUGUUACCAGAAAUCUUUCCUGAAGCUACUGGGUGAAGAAGACCAAAUUCCCUAAGAAAAAUGCAGAAGACACAGCUGCAGCUUAGGGGUGGAGAGAGGCCUUUGAUAUCACAACAAAUCAAAGGUCUCAGUUGCAGCUCUGGGUUGGACUGAGGUCUUUGCUAUCACAACCUAGCAGAGGUCUCAUUUACUGCUCCAGGAUAGAACGAGGCCUUUGCCAUCACAACUACGCAGACGUCCCAACUGCAGCUUAGGGGUGGAGAGAGGCCUUUGCCAUCCCAACCAAGUAAAGGUCCAAGCUGCAGCUCCCCUUUGAAGAAGAACACUUCCUAUCACCAAUAACUAGACGUCCCAGCUGCAUGUCCAGUGUGAGAAAAAGAACUUGCCAACACAAGUAACCAGAAAUCCCUGGUGCUGCUCCAGGGUGAAGAACAACAGUUGCCAUCACAACUUGCCGAAGUCCCUGCUGCUGCUCGAGGGUGAAGACAAACACUUGUCAUCACAAGUAACCAGAGUUCCCUGCUGCAGCUCCAGGGUGAAGACGAACAGUUGUCAUCACAAGUACCCAGAAGUCCCUGCUGCUGCUCCAGGGUGACGAACAAUAGUUGCCAUUAAAAGUUGCCUGAAGUCCCUGCAGCUUUUCCAAGGUGAAGAGGAACUCUUGCCAUCACAAGUUACCAGAAGUCCCGGCUGCUGCUCCAAGGUGAAGAGGACCACGUGCCCUGAAAUCUUUUCUGAAACUACUGGGUGAUGAAGAUUAAAUUCCCUAAGAAAAAUGCAGAAGACACAUCUGCAGCUUACGGGUGGAGAGAGGCCUUUGAUAGCACAACAAAUCAGAGGUCGCAGUUGCACCUCUGGGUUGGACAGAGGUCUUUGCUAUCACAACCUAGCAGAGGUCUCAUUUACCGCUCCAGGAUAGAACGAGGCCUUUGCCAUCACAACUACGCAGACUUCCCAACUCCAGCUUAGGGGUGGAGAGAGGUCUUUGCCAUCACAACUAAGCAGAGGUCCAAGCUGCACCUCCUGUUUGAAGAACACUUCCUAUCACCAAUAACUAAAUGUCCCAGCUGCAGGUCCAGUGUGAAGAAAAGAACUUGCCUCCACAAGUAACAAGAAGUCCCUCCUGCUGCUCCAGGGUGAAAAACAAUAUUUGCCAUCACAAGUUGCCAGAAGUCCCUGCUGCUGCUUCAGGGUGAAGAGGAACACUUGUGACCACAAGUACCCAGAAAUCCCUGCUGCUACUCCAUGGUGAAGAACAACAGUUGCCAUCACAAGUAAUCAGAAGUCCCUGCUGUACCUCCAGGGUGAAGAGGAACACUUGUGAUCACAAGUAACCAAAAGUCCCUCCUGCAGCUCCAAGGUGAAGAGGAACAACUUGCCAUCAAAAGUUACCAGAAGGCCCUGCUGUAGCUCCAGGGUGAAGAGGAAAAGUUGUGACCACAAGUACCCAGAGGUCCCUGCUGCUGCUCCAGGGUGAAGAGGAACACUUGUGACCCCAAGUAACCAGAAGUCCCUGCUGCCGCUACAGGGUGAAGAGAAACACUUGUCAUCACAAGUAACCAGAAAUCCCUGCUGCUGCCCUAGGUUGAAAAGGAACACUUGCCAGCACAACUUACCAGAAGUCCCUGCUGCAGCUCCAGGGUAUAGAGGAACAAUUGCCAGGUCAAUUUACCAGAAGUCCCUGCUGCUGCUCUAGGGUGAAGAGGAACACUUGCCAGCACAACUUACCCGAAGUCCCUGCUGCAGCUCCAGCGUAUAGAGGAACACUUGCCAGGUCAACUUACCAGAAGUCCCUGCUGCUGCUCCAGGGUGAAGAGGAACACUUGUGACCCCAAGUAACCAGAAGUCCCUGAAGCCGCUACAGGGUGAAGAGAAACACUUGUCAUCACAAGUAACCAGAAAUCCCUGCUGCUGCUCCAGGUUGAAGAGGACCACUUGCCAUCAAAUGUUAGCAGAAAUCUUUCCUGUAACUACUGGGUGAAGAAGACCAAUUGCCCUAAGAAAAAUGCAUAGGACAGAGCUGAAGCUUAGGGUUGAGAGAGGCCUUUGCCAUCACAACUACAUAGAUGUGCCAGCUGCAGCUUAUGGGUGGAAGGAGGCCAUUCCCAUCACAACUAAGCAGAGGUCCAAGCUGUAGCUCCUGUUUGAAGAACACUUCCUAUCUCCAAUAACUGGACGUCCCACCUGUAGGUCCAGUUUGACGAAAAGAACUUGCCACCACAAGGAACCAGAAGUCCCUGCUGCAUCUCCAGGGUGACGAGGAAUACUUGUGACCACAAGUACCCAGAAUCCCUGCUGCUGCUCAAGGGCAAAGAACAACUGUUGCCAUCACAAGUUACCCUGAAGUCCCUGCUGCCACUCCAGGGUGAAGAGGAACACUAGUCAACACAAGUAGCCAGAAGUCCCUCCUGCUGCUCCAGGGUGAAGAGGAACACUUGCCAUCACAACUUGCCAGAAGUCCCUGCUGCAGCUCCACGGUGAAGAGGAACACUUGCCAUCACAUGUUGUCAGAAGUCCCUUCUUAAGCUCCAGGGUGAAGAGGAAUAAUUGCGACCAUAAAUACCCCUAAUUCCUGCUACUGCUCGAGGGCAAAGAACAACUGUUGCCAUCACAUGUUGCCUGAAGUCCCUGCUGCCGCUCCAAGGUGAAGAGGAACACUUGUGACCACAAGUACGCAGAAGUCCCUGCUGCUGCACCAGGGUGAAGAAAAACAGUUGCCAUUACAAGUUGCCAGAAGUCCCUGCUGCACCUCCAGGGUGAAGAGGAACACUUGUGACCACAAGUAACCAGAAGUCCUUGCUGCAGCUCCAGGGUGAAGAGGAACACUUGCCAUCACAAGUAACGAGAAAUCCCUGCUGCUGCUCCAGGGUGAAGAACAACAGUUGCCAUCACAUGUUGCCAGAAGUCCCUGCUGCUGGUCCAGGGUGACGACAAACACUUUUGAUCACAAGUAACCAGAAGUCCGUGCAUUAGUUCCAGGGUGAAGAGGAACAUUUGUGAACAGAAGUACCCAGAAGUCCCUGUUGCUGCUCCAGGGUGAAGAAGAACACUUGUGACCACAAGUAUCCCAAAGUCUCUGCUGCUGCUCCAGGGUGAAGACGAACAAUUGUCAUCACAAGUAACCAGAAGUCCCUGCUGUAGCUCCAGGGUGAAGAGGAACACUUGUGACCACAAGUACCCAGAAGUCCCUGCUGCUGCUCCAGGGUGAAGAACAACAGUUGCCAAUACAAGUUGCCUGAAGUCCCUGCUGCUGCUCCAAGGUGAAGAGGACCACGUGCCAUGAAAUGUUACCAGAAAUCUUUCCUGAAGCUACUGGAUGAAGAAGACCAAAUUCCCUAAGAAAAAUGCAGAAGACACAGCUGGAGCUUAGAGGUGUAGAGAGUCCUUUGAUAUCACAACAAAUCAAAGGUCUCAGUUGCAGCUCUUGGUUGGACUGAGGUCUUUGCCAUCACAACCUAGCAGAGGUCUCAUUUACUGCUCCAGGACAAAACGAGGCCUUUGCCAUCACAACUACGCAGACGUCCCAACUGCAGCUUAGGGGUGGAGAGAGGCCUUUGCCAUCCCAACCAAGUAAAGGUCGAAGCUGCAGUUACCCCUUUGAAGAAGAACACUUCCUAUCACCAAUAACUAGACGUCCCAGCUGCAUGUCCAGUGUGACAAAAAGAACUUCCCAACACAAGUAACCAGAAAUCCCUGGUGCUGCUCCAGGGUGAAGAACAACAGUUAACAUAACAUAUAACCAGAAGUCCAUGCUGCUACUCCAUGGUGAAGAACAACAGUUGCCAUCACAAGUUGCCAGAAGUCCCUGCUGCUGCUCGAGGGUGAAGACGAACACUUAUCAUCACAAGUAACCAGAAGUCCCUGCUGCAGCUCCAGGGUGAAGUCGAACAGCUGUAAUCACAAGUACCCAGAAGUCCCUGCUGCUGCUCCAGGGUGACGAACAAUAGUUGCCAUUACAAGUUGCCUGAAGUCCUUGUAGCUUUUCCAACGUGAAGAGGAACUCUUGCUAUCAGAAGUUAGCAGAAGUCCCGGUGGUAGCUCCAAGGUGAUGAGGAACACUUGUCAUCACAAGUACCCAGAAGUCCCUGCUGCUGCUCUAGGGUGAAGAAUAACAGUUUCCAUUACAAGUUGACUAAAGUCCCUGCUGCUGUUCCAAGGUGAAGAGGACCAUGUGCCCUGAAAUCUUUUCUAAAUCUACUAGGUGAUGAAGACUAAAUUCCCUAAGAAAAAUGCAGAAGACACAGCUGCAGCUUACGGGUCGAGAGAGGCCUUUGAUAGCACAACAAAUCAGAGGUCGCAGUUGCACCUCUGGGUUGGACAGAGGUCUUUGCUAUCACAACGUAGCAGAGGUCUCAUUUACCGCUCCAGGAUAGAACGAGGCCUUUGCCAUCACAACUAAGCAGAGGUCCAAGCUGCACCUCCCAUUUGAAGAAUACUUCCUAUCACCAAUAACUAAAUGUCCCAGCUGCAGGUCCAGUGUGAAGAAAAGAACUUGCCUCCACAAGUAACCAAAAGUCCCUCCUGCUGCUCCAGGGUGAAAAACAAUAUUUGCCAUCACAAGUUGCCAGAAAUCCCUGGUGCUACUCCAGGGUGAAGAACAAUAGUUAACAUAACAUGUAACCUGAAGUCCCUGCUGCUGCUUCAGGGUGAAGAGGAACACUUGUGACCACAAGUACCCAGAAAUCCCUGUUGCUACUCCAUGGUUAAGAACAACAGUUACCAUCACAAGUUGCCAGAAGUCCCUGCUGUUGCUCCAGGGUGAAGAGGAACACAUGUGAUCACAAGUAACCAAAAGUCCCUCCUGCAGCUCCCAGGUGAAGAGGAACACUUGCCAUCAAAAGUUACCAGAAGUCCCUGCUGCAGCUCCAGGGUGAAGACGAACAUUUGUCAUCACAAGUAAUCAGAAGUCCCUGCUGUAGCUCCAGGGUGAAGAGGAACACUUGUGAGCAAAAGUACGCAGAAGUCCCUGCUGCUGCUGCAGGGUGAAGAGGAACACUUGUGACCACAAGUAACCAGAAUUCCCUGCUGAUGCUCUAGGGUGAAGAGGAAUACUUGUCAUCACAUGUUACCAGAAGUUCCUGCUGCAGGUCCAGGGUAAAGACGAACACUUGUGACCAUAAGUACCCAGAAGUCCCUGCUGCUGCUCCAGGGUGAAGAACAACAGUUUCCAUUACAAGUUCCCUGAAGUCCCUGCUGCUGCUCCAAGGUGAAGAAGACCACCUGCCAUGAAAUGUUACUAGAAAUCUUACCGGAAGCUACUAGGUGAAUAUGACCAAAUUCCCUAAGAAAAAUGCAGAAGACGCAGCUGCAGCUUAGGGGUGGAGAGAGGCCUUUGCCAUCACAACCAAGCAGAGGUCCAAGCUGCAGCUCCUGUUUGAAGAAGAACCCUUCCUAUCACCAAUAACUGGACAUCACAGCUGCAGGUCCAGUGUAAAGAAAAGAACUUGCCUCCACAAGUAUCGAGAAGUCCCUCCUGCUGCUCCAGGGUGAAGAACAACUGUUGCCAUCAAAAGUUACCAGAAGUCCCUGCUGCAGCUCCAGGGUGAAGACGAACAUUUGUCAUCACAAGUAAUCAGAAGUCCCUGCUGUAGCUCCAGGGUGAAGAGGAACACUUGUGAGCAAAAGUACCCAGAAGUCCCUGCUGCUGCUGCAGGGUGAAGAGGAACACUUGUGACCACAAGUACCCAGAAGUCCCUGCUGCUGCUGCAGGGUGAAGAGGAACACUUGUGACCACAAGUAACCAGAAUUCCCUGCUGACGCUCUAGGGUGAAGAGGAAUACUUGUCAUCACAUGUUACCAGAAGUUCCUGCUGCAGGUCCAGGGUAAAGACGAACACUUGUGACCAUAAGUACCCAGAAGUCCCUGCUGUACCUCCAGGGUGAAGAACAACAGUUUCCAUUACAAGUUCCCUGAAGUCCCUGCUGCUGCUCCAAGGUGAAGAAGACCACCUGCCAUGAAAUGUUACUAGAAAUCUUACCGGAAGCUACUAGGUGAAGACGACCAAAUUCCCUAACAAAAAUGCAGAAGACGCAGCUGCAGCUUAGGGGUGGAGAGAGGCCUUUGCCAUCACAACAAAGCAGAGGUCCAAGCUGCAGCCCCUGUUUGAAGAAGAACCCUUCCUAUCACCAAUAACUGGACAUCACAGCUGCAGGUCCAGUGUAAAGAAAAGAACUUGCCUCCACAAGUAUCGAGAAGUCCCUCCUGCUGCUCCAGAGUGAAGAACAACUGUUGCCAUCACAAUUUGCCAGAAGCCCCUGCUACUGCUCCAGGGUGAAGAGGAACACUUGUGACGACAAGUAACCAGAAGUCCCUGCUGACGCUCUAGGUUGAAGAGGGAUACUUGCCAUCACAAGUUACCAGAUGUCCCUGCUGCAGCUCCAGGGUGAAGAGCAACACUUGCCAUCAAAGGUUACCAGAAAUCUUUCCUGUAGCUACUGGGUGAAGAAGACCAAUUACCCCAAGAAAAAUGCAGAGGACGCAGCUGCAGAUUAAGGGUGGAGAGAGGCCUUUUCUAUCAAAACAAAGCAGAGAUCUCAGCUGCAGCUCCAAGAUGGAGAGAGGCGUUUUCCAUCACAACUACAUAGAUGUCCCAGCUGCAGCUUAAGGAUGGAUGUAGGCCUUUGCUAUCACAACUAAGCAGAAGUCCAAGCUGCACCUCCCGUUUGAAGAAAAACACUUCAUAUUCCCCAUAACUAUACGUCCCAGUUGCAUGUCCAGUGUGACAAAAAGAUCUUGCCACCACAAGUAACCAGAAGUCCCUGGUACUGCUCCAGGGUGAAGAACAACAGUUAACAUAACAUGUAAGCAGAAGUCCCUGCUGCUACUCCAGGGUGAAGAACAACAGUUGUCAUCACAAGUAACCAGAAGUCCCUGCUGCUGCUCCAGGGUGAAGAACAACAGUUACCAUUACAAAUUGCCUGAAGUCCCUGCUGCUGCUCCAAGGUGAGGAGGAACACUUGCCAUCACAAGUUACCAGAAGUCCCUGAUGUAGCUCCAGGGUGAAGAGGAACACUUGUGAUCACAAGUUACCAGAAGUCCCUGCUGCUGCUCCAAGGCGAAGAGGAUGACUUGUGACCACAAGUACCCAGAAAUCCCUGCUGCUGCUCCAGGGUGAAGAACAACAGUUGCCAUUACAAGUUGCCUGAAGUACCUGCUGCUGCUCCCAGGUGAAGAGGAACACUUGCCAUCACAAGGUACCAGAAGUCACAGCUGUAGGUCCAGGGUGAAGAGGAACACUUGUGAUCACAAGUUACCAGAAGUCCCUCCUGCUGCUUCAGCGUGAAGAACAACAGUUUCCAUUACAAGUUGCCUGAAGUCCCUGCUGCUGCUCCAAGGUGAAGAGGACCACGUGCCAUGAAAGGUUACUAGAAAUCUUUCCUGAAGCUAGUGGGUGAAGAAGACCAAAUUCCCUAAGAAAAAUGCAGAAGAUACAGCUGUAGCUUAGGGGUGGAGAGAGAAGGCUUUGAUAUCAUAACAAAUCAGAGGUCUCAGUUGCAGCUCUGGGUUGGACAGAGGUCUUUGCUAUCGCAACCUAGCAGAGGUCUCAUUUACCAUUUCAGGAUAGAACGAGGCCUUUGCCAUCACAACUACGCAGACGUCUCAACUGCAGCUUAGGGGUGGAGAGAGGCCUUUGCCAUCACAACUAAGCACAGGUCUCAGCUGCAGUUCUAGGAAGUAGAGACACCUUUGCCAUCACAACCAAGAAGCUGUCUCAGCUGCAGCUCCAAGAUGGAGAGAGGCCUUUGCCAUCACAACUAAGCAGAAGUCCAAGCUGCACCUCCCGUUUGAAGAAGAACACUUCCUAUCACCAAUAAGUAGAUGUCCCAGCUGCAGGUCCAGUGUGAAGAAAAGAACUUGCCUCCACAAGUAAUGAGAAGUCCCUCCUGCUGCUCCAGGGUGAAAAACAACAUUUGCCAUCAUAAGUUGCCAGAAGUCCCAGCUGACGCUACAGGGUGAAGAGGAAUACUUGCCAUUACAAGUUACUAGAAGUCCCUGCUGCAGCUCCAGGGUGAAGAGCAACCUUUGCCAUCACAGGUUGCCAGAAGUCCCUGCUGUAGCUCCAGGGUGAAGAGGAACACUUGUGAUCACAAGUUACCAGAAGCCCCUGCUGCUGCUCCAGGGUGAAGAGGAACACUUGUGACCACAAGUACCCAGAAGUCCCUGCUGCUACUCCAGGGUGAAGAACAACAGUUGCCAUUACACGUUGCCUGAUGUACCUGCUGCUGUUCCAAGGUGAAGACGAACACUUGCCAUCACAAGUUACCAGAAGUCCCUGCUGUAGAUCCAGGGUGAAGAGGAACACUUGUGAUCACAAGUUACCAGAUGUCCCUGCUGCUGCUCCAGGGUGAAGAACAACAGUUUCCAUUACAAGUUGCCUAAAGUCCCUGCUGCUGCUCCAAGGUGAAGAGGACCAAGUGCUAUGAAAUGUUACCAGAAAUCUUUCCUGAAGCUAGUGGGUGAAGAAGACCAAUUUCGCUAAGAAAAAUGCAGAAGACACAGCUGCAGCUUAGGGGUGGAGAGAGGCCUUUGAUAUCAUAACAAAUCAGAGGUCCAAGCUGCAGCUCCCGUUUGAAGAAGAACACUUACUAUCACCAAUAACUGGACAUCACAGCUGCGGGUCCAGUGUGAAGAAAAGCACUUGCCUCCAAAAGUAACCAGAAGUCCCUCCUGCUGCUCUAGGGUGAAGAACAACAGUUGCCAUCACAAGUUGCCAGAAGUCCCUGCUGCUGCUCCAGGGUGAAGAGGAACACUUGUGAUGUCAAGUAACCAGAAGUCCCUGCUGACGCUCCAGGGUGAAGAGGAAUACUUGCCAUCACAAGUUACCAGAAGUCCCUGCUGCAGCUCCAGGGUGAAGAGCAACACUUGCCAUCACAAGUUACCAGAAGUCCCUGCUGUAGCUCCAGGGUGAAGAGGAACACUUGCGAUCACAAGUUACCAGAAGUCCCUGCUGCUGCUCUAGGGUGAAGAAUAACAGUUGCCAUCACAAUUUGCCAGAAGUCCCUGCGGCUGCUCCAGGGUGAAGAACACUUGUGGCGACAAGUAAACAGAAGUUCCUGCUGACGCUCCAGGGUGAAGAGGAACACUUGUGACCACAAGUACCCAGAAGCCCCUGCUGUAGCUCCAGGGUGAAGAGGAACACUUGUGACCACAAGUACCCAGAAGUCCCUGCUGCUGCUCCAGGGUGAAGAACAAGAUUUGCCAUUACAAGUUGCCUGAUGUACCUGCUGCUGCUCUAAGGGGAAGAGGAACACUUGGCGUCACAAGUUACCAGAAGUCCCUGCUGCUGCUCCAGGGUGAAGAACAACAGUUGCCAUUACAAGUUACCAGAAGUCCCUGCUGUAGCUCCAGGGUGAAGAGGAACACUUGUGAUCACAAGUUACCAGAAGCCCCUGCUGCUGCUCCAGGGUGAAGAGGAACACUUGCCAUCAAAAGUUACCAGAAGUCCCUGCUGUAGCUCCAGGGUGAAGAGGAACACUUGUGAUCACAAGUUACCAGAAGUCCCUGCUGCUGCUCUAGGGUGAAGAACAACAGUUGCCAUUACAAGUUGCCUGAAGUCCCUGCUGCAGCUCCAGGGUGAAGAGGAACACUUGCCAUCACAAGUUACCAGAAGUCCCUGCUGUAGUUCCAGGUUGAAGAGGAACAUCUGUGACCAUAAGUAACCUGAAGUCCCUGGUGCUGCUCCAGGGUGAAGAACAACAGUUGCCAUUACAAGUUGCCUGAAGUCCCUGCUGCUGCUCCAAGGUGAAGAGGAACACUUGCCAUCACAAGUUACCAGAAGUCCCUGCUGCAGCUCCAGGGUGAAGAGCAACACUUGCCAUCACAAGUUACCAGAAGUCCCUGCUGCAGCUCCAGGGUGAAGAGCAACACUUGCCAUCACAAGUUACCAGAAGUCCCUGCUGCAGCUCCAGGGUGAAGAGCAACACUUGCCAUCACAAGUUACCAGAAGUCCCUGCUGCAGCUCCAGCGUGAAGAGCAACACUUGCCAUCACAAGUUACCAGAAGUCCCUGAUGCUGCUCUAGGGUGUAGAAUAACAGUUUCCAUUACAAGUUGACUAAAGUCCCUACUGCUGUUCCAAGGUGAAGAGACCACGUGCCAUGAAAUGUUACCAGAAAUCUUUCCUGAAGCUACUGGGUGAAGAAGACCAAUUUCCCUAAGAAAAAUGCAGAAGACACAGCUGCAGCUUAGGGGUGGAGAGAGGCCUUUGAUAUCACAACAAAUCAGACGUCUCAGUUGCAGCUCUGGGUUGGACAGAGGUCUUUGCUAUCACAACCUAGCAUAGGUCUCAUUUACCGCUCCAGGAUAGAACGAGGCCUUUGCCAACCACAACUACGCAGGCGUCACAACUGCAGCUUAGUGGUGGAGAGCGGCCUUUGCUAUUACAACCAAGCAGAGGUCCAAGCUGCAGCUCCCGCUUGAAGAAGAACACUUCCUAUCACCAAUAAGUGGACUUCACAGCUGCAGCUCCAGUGUGAAGAAAAGGACUUUCCUCCAAAAGUAACCAGAAGUCCCUCCUGCUGCUCUAGGGUGAAGUACAACAGUUGCCAUCACAAGGUGCCAGAAGUCCCUGUUGCUGCUCCAGGGUGAAGAGCAACACUUGCCAUUACAAGUUACCAGAAGUCCCUGUUGCAGCUCCAGGGUGAAGAGCAACACUUGCCAUCACAAUUUGCCAGAAGUCCCUGCUGCAGCUCCAUGGUGAAUACGAACAUUUGCCAUCAAAAGUUACCAGAAAUCUUUCCUGUAGCUACUGGGUGAAGAUGACCAAUUACCCCAAGAAAAAUGCAGAGGACGCAGCUUCAGAUUAGGGGUGGAGACAGGCCUUUUCUAUCAAAACAAAGCAGAGGUCUCAGCUACAGCUCCGGGGUGGAGAGAGGCCUUUGCCAUCAGAAGAAAGCAGAGGUCUCAGCUGUAGUUCUAGGAUGUAGAGACACCUUUGCCAUCACAACCAAGAAGCUGUCUCAGCUGCAGCUCCCAGAUGGAGAGAGGCCUUUGCCAUCACAACUAAGCAGAAGUCCAAGCUGCAGCUCCUGUUUGAAGAAGAACACUUCCUAUCAGCAAUAAUUAGACGUCCCAGCUGCAUGUCCAGUGUGACAAAAAAACUUGUCACCACAAAUAACCAGAAUUUCCUGCUGCAGCUCCAGGGUGAAGACGAACACUUGUCAUCACAAGUAACCAGAAGUCCCUGCUGUAGCUCUAGGGUGAAGAGGAACACUUGUGAUCCUAAGUUACCAGAAGUCCCUGCUGUAGCUCCAGGGUGAAGAGGAACACUUGUGAUCAAAAGUUACCAGAAGUCCCUGCUGCUGCUCCAGGGUGAAGAACAACAGUUUCCAUUACAAGUUGCCUAAAGUCCCUGCUGCUGCUCCAAGGUGAAGAGGACCAAGUGCUAUGAAAUGUUACCAGAAAUCUUUCCUGAAGCUUGUGGGUGAAGAAGACCAAUUUCGCUAAGAAAAAUGCAGAAGACACAGCUGCAACUUAGGGGAGGAGAGAGGCCUUUGAUAUCGCAACAAAUCAGAGGUCUCAGUUGUAGCUCUGGGUUGGACAGAGGUCUUUGCUAUCACACCCUAGCAGAGGUCUCAUGUACCGCUACAAGAUAGAGUGAGGCCUUUGCCAUCACAACUACGCAGACGUCCCAACUGCACCUUAGGGGUGGAAAGAGGCCUUUGCCAUCACAACCAAGCAGAAGUACAAGCUGCACCUCCCGCUUGAAGAUGAACACUUCCUAUCACCAAUAACUGAACAUUACAUCUGCAGGUCCAGUGUGAAGAAAAGAACUUGCCUCCACAAGUAACCAGAAGUCCCUCCUCCUGCUCUAGGGUGAAGAACACCAGUUCCCAUCACAAUUUGCCAGAAGUCCCUGCGGCUGCUCCAGGGUGAAGAACACUUGUGGCGACAAGUAAACAGAAGUUCCUGCUGACGCUCCAGGGUGAAGAGCAACAGUUGCCAUUACAAGUUACCAGAAGUCCCUGCUGUAGCUCCAGCGUAAAGAGGAACACUUGUGAUCACAAGUACCCAGAAGUCCCUGCUGUAGCUCCAGCGUGAAGAGGAACACUUGUGACCACAAGUACCCAGAAGUCCCUGCUGCUGCUCCAGGGUGAAGAACAACAGUUGCCAUUACAAGUUGCCUGAUGUACAUGCUGCUGCUCCAAGGUGAAGAGGAACACUUGCCAUCACAAGUUACCAGAAGUCCCUGCUGUAGCUCCAGGGUGAAGAGGAACACUUGUGAUCACAAGUUACCAGAAGUCCCUGCUGUAGCUCCAGGGUGAAGAGGAACACUUGUGAUCACAAAUUACCAGAAGUCCCUGCUGCUCCUCUAGGGUGAAGAAUAACAGUUUCCAUUACAAGUUGACUAAAGUCCCUGCUGUUGCUCCAAGGUGAAGAGGUCCAAGUGCCAUGAAAUGUUGCCAGAAAUCUUUCCUGAAGAUACUGGGUGAAGAAGACCAAUUUCCCUAAGAAAAAUGCAGAAGACAUAGCUGCAGAUUAGUGGUGGAGAGAGGCCUUUGAUAUCACAACAAAUCAGAGGUCUCAGUUGCAGCUCUGGGUUGGACAGAGGUCUUUGCUAUCACAACCUAGCAGAGGUGCCAUAUACCGCUCCAGGAUAGAAUGAGGCCUUUGCCAUCACAACCAAGCUGAGGUCCAAGCUGCAGCUCCCGUUUGAAGAAGAACACUUAAUAUCACCAAUACCUGGACAUCACAGCUGCGGGUCCAGUGCGAAGAAAAGCACUUGCCUCCAAAAGUAACCAGAAGUCCCUCCUGCUGCUCUAGGGUGAAGAACAACAGUUGCCAUUACAAGUUGCCAGAAGUCACUGCUGCUGCUCCAGGGUGAAGAGGAACACUUGUGAUGACAAGUAACCAGAAGUCCCUGCUGACGCUCCAGGGUGAAGAGGAACACUUGCCAUCACAAGUUACCAGAAGUCCCUGCUGCAGUUCCAGGGUGAAGAGCAACACUUGCCAUCAAUAGUUACCAGAAGUCCCUGCUGUAGCUCCAGGGUGAAGAGGAACACAUGUGAUCACAAGUUACCAGAAGUCCCUGCUGCUGCUCUAGGGUGAAGAAUAACAGUUUCCAUUACAAGUUGACUAAAGUCCCUGCUGCUGUUCCAAGGUGAAGAGGACCACGUGCCAUGAAAUGUUUCUAGAAAUCUUUCCUGAAGCUACUGGGUGAAGAAGACCAAUUUCCCUAAGAAAAAUGCAGAAGACACAGCUGCAGCUUAGUGGUGGAGAGAGGCCUUUGCCAGUACAACCAAGCAGAGGCCCAAGCUGCAGCUCCCGUUUGAAGAAGAACACUUCCUAUCACCAAUACGUGGACAUCACAGCUGCAGUUCCAGUGUGAAGAAAAGCACGUGCCUCCAAAAGUAACCAGAAGUCCCUCCUGCUGCUCUAGGGUGAAGAACAACAGUUGCCAUCACAAGUUCCCAGAAGUCCCUGCUGCAGCUCCAGGGUGAAGAGCAACACUUGCCAUCACAAGUUACCGGAAGUCCCUGCUGUAGCUCCAGGGUGAAGAGGAACACUUGUGAUCACAAGUUACCAGAAGUCCCUGCUGCUACUCCAGGGUUAAGAACAAAAGUUGCCAUCACAAGUUGCCAGAAGUCCCUGCUGCUGCUCCAGGGUGAAGAACAACAGUUCCCAUGACAAGUUGCCAGAAGUCCCUGCUGUUGCUCCAGGGUGAAGAGGAACACUUGUGACCACAAGCAACUAGAAGUCCCUGCUGACGCUCCAGUGUGAAGAGGAAUACUUGCUAUCACAAGAUACCAGAAGUUCCUGCUGCAGCUCCAGGGUGAAGAGGAACACUUGUCAUCAAAAGUAUCCAGAAGUCCCUGCUGUAGCUCCAGGGUGAAGAGGAACACUUGUUAUCACAAGUACCCAGAAGUCCCUGCUGCCGCUCCAGGUUGAAGAGCAAGACUUGUCAUCCUAAGUUGCCAGAAGUCCCUGCUGUAGCUCCAGGGUGAAUAGGACCAUUUGCCAUCAAAAGUUACCAGAAAUCUUUCCUGUAGCUACCGGGUGAUGAAGACCAAUUACCCCAAGAAAAAUGCAGUGGACCCAGCUGCAGAUUAGGGGGGGAGAGAGGCCUUUUCUAUCAAAACAAAGCAGAGGUCUCAGCUACAGCUCAGUGGUGGAGAGAGGCCUUUGCUAUCAGAAGAAAGCAGAGGUCUCAGCUGCAGUUCCAGGAUGCAGAGACAAAUUUUCCAUCACAACCAAGCAGCUGUCUCAGCUGCAGCUCCAAGAUGGAGAGAGGCCUUUGCCAUCACAACCAAGCAGAGGUCCAAGCUGCAGCUCCCAUUUGAAGAAGAACACUUACUAUCACCAAUAACUGGACAUCACAGCUGCAGGUCCAGUGUGAAGAAAAGCACUUGCCUCCAAAAGUAACCAGAAGUCCCUCCUGCUGCUCUAGGGUGAAGAAUAACAGUUGCCAUCACAAGUUGCCAGAAGUCCCUGCUGCUGCUCCAGGGUGAAGAGGAACACUUGUGAUGACAAGUAACCAGAAGUCCCUGCUGACGCUCCAGGGUGAAGAGGAAUACUUGCCAUCACAAGUUACCAGAAGUCCCUGCUGCAGCUCCAGGGUGAAGAGCAACACUUGCCAUCACAAGUUACCAGAAGUCCCUGCUGUACCUCCAGGGUGAAGAACAACAGUUUACAUUACAAGUUGCCUAAAGUCCCUGCUUCUGCACCAAGGUGAAGAGGACCACGUGCCAUGAAAUGUUACCAGAAAUCUUUCCUGAACAUAAUGGGUGAAGAGGACCACGUGCCAUGAAAUGUUACCAGAAAUCUUUCCUGAAGCUAAUGGGUGAAGAAGACCAAUUUCCCUAAGAAAAAUGCAGAAGACACAGCUGCAGCUUAGGGGUGGAGAGAGGCCUUUGAUAUCAUAACAAAUCAGAGGUCUCAGUUGCAUCUCUGGGUUGGACAGAGGUCUUUGCUAUCACAACCUAGCAGAGGUGUCAUAUACCGCUCCAGGAUAGAAUGAGGCCUUUGCCAUCACAACUACGCAGACGUCCCAACUGCAGCUUAGGGGUGGAGAGAGGCCUUUGCCAUCACAACCAAGCAGAGGUCCAAGCUGCAGCUCCCGUUUGAAGAAGAACACUUCCUAUCACCAAUAAGUGGACCUCACAGCUGCAGGUCCAGUGUGAAAAAAAGCACUUGCCUCCAAAAGUAACCAGAAGUCCCUUCUGCUGCUCUAGGGUGAAGAACAACAGUUGCCAUCACAAGUUGCAAGAAGUCCCUGCUGCUGCUCCAGGGUGAAGGGGAAAACUUUUGACCACAAAUACCCAGAAGUCCCUGCUGCUGCUCCAGGGUGAAGAGGAACACUUGCCAUCACAAGUUACCAGGAGUCCCUGCUGCAUCUCCAGGGUGAAGAGGAACAGUUGCCAUCACAAGUUACCAGAAGUCCCUGCUGCUACUCCAGGGUGAAGAACAACAGUUGCCCUCACAAUUUGCCAGAAGUCCCUGCUGCCGCUCCAGGGUGAAGAGGAACACUUGUGACCACAAGGACCCAGAAGUCCCUGCUGCUGCUCCUAGGUGAAGAGCAACACUUGCCAUCACAAGUUACCAGAAGUCCCUGCUGCUGCUCCAGGGUGAAGAGGAACACUUGCCAUCACAAGUUACCAGAAGUCCCUGCUGCUGCUCCAGGGUGAAGAACAAUAGUUGCCAUUACAAGUUGCCAGAAGUCCCUGCUGCUGCUCCAAGGUGAAGAGGAACACUUGCCAUCACAAGUUACCAGAAGUCCCUGCUGCUGCUCCAGGGUGAAGAACAAUAGUUGCCAUUACAAGGUGCCAGAAGUCCCUGCUGACGCUCCAGUGUGAAGAGGAAUACUUGCCAUCACAAGAUACCAGCAGUUCCUGCUGCAGCUCCAGGGUGAAGACGAACACUUGUCAUCACAAGUAACCAGAAGUCCCUGCUGUAGCUCCAGGGUGAAGAGGAACACUUGUGAUCCCAAGUUACCAGAAGUCCCUGCUGCAGCUCCUGGCUGAAGAGGUACACAUUUCACCACAAGUAACCAGAAGUCCCUGUAGCAGCUCCAGGGUGAAGACGAACACUUGCCAUCACAAGUAAGCAGAAGUCCCUCCUGCAGCUCCAGGGUGAAGAACAACAGUUGCCAUCACAAAUUACUUGAAGUUCCUGCUGCAGGUCCAGGGUGAAGAGGAACACUUGCCAUCACACUUUACUCGAAGUCCCGGCCAUUGCUCCAGGGUGAAGAGGAAAACUUGCCAUCACAAGUAACCAGAAUUUCCUGAUGCCACUCGAGGGUGAAGAGGUGCCAUCAAAAAUUACGAGAAGUCCCUGCUGCUGUUCCAGGGGUAAAUAAGAGCAGUCCCAUCACACGUAACCAGAAUUCCCUGCUAUAGUGACAGGGUGAAGAGGAACACUUGCCAUCACACUUUACUCGACGUCCCGGCUAUUGCUCCAGGGUGAAGAGGAAAACUUGCCAUCACAAGUAACCAGAAUUUUCUGAUGCCACUCGAGGGUGAAGAGGUGCAGUUGCCAUCAAAAGUUACGAGAAGUCCCUGCUGCUGUUCCAGGGUGAUAUUCAUCUGGUAAACAUGGAAAGAAGCUGCUGUCCAAGUAAUUGAUGGUUUGAACCUGCUGUACCAAAGUUUUUUUCUAUGGAUCUCAACUUCGCCUUUGGAGUUCACUUUGAACUGCUUUUGAUUCAAUUCAUACGGACACCAGUUGUCAUUUUCACAUUGUCCUUCUCUGAUGUUUGAAAAGAUUGAAGGCAAAAGGAGAAGAGGAUGGCAGGAGGUGACAAAGAUGAGAGAGUGUCAUGGAAGGAGCAAACGUGAACUUGGACAGACUUUGUAAGAUAGCAGACAGAAGGGCCUGGUAUGCUAAGGUCUCUGGGGUCACAAAUCUUCAACGUUCAAAAUACCGGAGCCCAUAAAGUGAAUCAGAAGCAGGACAAACAGACAUCGGAUAACAAGACAGGGAUACACGAAGGAAGUGGGACUCAGAUGAGGACGUAUACAAUGGACGGGAACAAAGAAGACCCAAAGACAAGGAAUAUCCCAGAACAAUGAGAAUCCAUGACAUCUGCCCACCACAAUCUGUCCUGCCAUUCUCAAGACCAUGUGGCUUUCCUUCCCCUGCUUUGCUACCACAAGGAUGGAUACAGAACUUCCCACAACAAACACUGACAUCAUAUGGAGGAACCCGGUUUAUCUUCUUCUACGAUGGCAGAGUCAACUCUACAAAUGUACAUAGAAUAUAAGAGGGCCAAAAAGGAAUGGAAGGAAAGGAAAGGAAAGAGGAAAAAAAGGGAAGAGGAGGAAAAGGAAAUAAGCAUUUAUUAAGAACCUACUAUGUGUCAGGCACUGUGAUAAGCACUUUACUAAUAUUAUCUUAUUAAGUGUGAGAUCUGGACCCUCUGCCCCUUAAUCAUGUGCCACCACUUUGGAAAAGAUCAGAAAAGCUGCAAAAAAUUGAGGGGAGCCCAAGAAAAUGGUGUCUCCCCUGAAGUCAAAAGGAGACCCUGAGGGUGGGACCAUGUCAGAAGAUGAAAAAGAAACCAGAGCAAGAGAGCUUACAGUCCCUCAGAAGAAUAGGAAAAGACCGUGGCUACCCUAGCAAAGGUCCCAGCGGCCACAAAAGCCACCGCUCCUGCAACAAAGUGCCUGGGAUAUUUUCUAAGAAGGCCUCCGGCAAGAAAGGGCCACCCCGGCCAAAGCUGAUGUCAUCCUAACAGAAGCGGGAGCCCCCCCCCCCGAGCCACCCACCCAUGAGCAAAGGGGCCCCCAGGAAGUUAAGAAAGAAGAUGGUGACUCUGAAGAAGACAGUGAAGAUGAGAAGAGAGAACCUGGGCCACCCAGAGCUACAAAAGUGGGAGCAGCUCUAGCCAAAUACACUUAGAUGGUGGUAAUGGAGGAGGAAGAAGAAGAAAUGAAGGAGGAGGAGGAGGGUGGGGAAGAAGAAACAAAGGAAGAAGAAAUGGCGGCGGUGGAGGAGGAGGAGGGUGGGGAAGAAGAAACGAAGGAA
rnacentral:lncRNA from 1 species